UACGGGGGGGGCAAGCGUUGUUCGGAAUUACUGGGCGUAAAGGGCUUGUAGGCGGCCAACUAAGUCCGACGUGAAAUCCCCAGGCUUAACCUGGGAACUGCGUCGGAUACUGGAUGGCUUGAAUUCGGGAGAGGGAUGCAGAAUUCCAGGUGUAGCGGUGAAAUGCGUAGAUAUCUGGAGGAACACCUGCGGUGUAGACGGCUUUCUGGACCAUUGCUGACGCUGAGACACGAAAGCGUGGGUAGCAAACAGG
rnacentral:rRNA from 1 species